rnacentral:rRNA from 1 species
UAGAGUUUGAUCCUGGCUCAGAACGAACGCUGGCGGCGUGGAUUAGGCAUGCAAGUCGAACGCGUGUAGCAAUACACGAGUGGCGAAAGGGACAGUAAUACGUAGAUACGUACCCUCCGGCCUGGGAUAGUCCGUCGAAAGACGGGGUAAUACCAGAUAACGUCUCCGGACCAAAGGUGUGAUUCCACCGGUGGAGCGGUCUGCGUCCUAUUAGCUUGUUGGCGGGGUAAUGGCCCACCAAGGCGAUGAUGGGUAGCGGGUGUGAGAGCACGACCCGCGUCAUUGGGACUGAGACACUGCCCAGACACCUACGGGUGGCUGCAGUCGAGGAUCUUCGGCAAUGAGCGCAAGCUUGACCGAGCGACGCCGCGUGCGGGAUGAAGGCUUUCGGGUUGUAAACCGCUGUCAGUGGGGAGGAAAUUUAGGUGGGUACUCUCAUCUAAUUGACUUAUCCGCAGAGGAAGCAAGGGCUAAGUUCGUGCCAGCAGCCGCGGUAAGACGAACCUUGCUAACGUUAUUCGGAAUUACUGGGCUUAAAGGGUGCGUAGGCGGUGCAGAAAGUCGGGGGGUGAAUCCCCCAGCUCAACUGAGGAAUUGCGCCCGAAACUACUGUGCUUGAGGANAUANAGGUACCCCGGACUUAAGGGGGGAGCGGGGAAAUGCCUUUGAUAUCCUAAGGGACCACGGGUGGCGAAAGCGGGCUUCUUGGUCUUUUCUGACCCUGAGGCACAAAAACUAGGGUAACCAACGGGAUUAAAUACCCCGGAGCUCUAGCCGUAAACUCUGACCUUUGAUGGAAGGGGCCUCAUAGCCCUUCANUCGAACGAAAGUGUUAUUGCCCCCCCUGGGGAAGUUUGCCCCAG